AAGAAUUCAAAUAGGUUGUUUCAUACUUGUCCAAGAUACCGGAAGGGGAGCCACUGCAAUUUUUUUAAAUGGGUUGAUGAAAAUGAACAUGUAGUUGUUGCAGAAGGUCCAAAGGGGGUCCUAAAAACUGAUGUAGAACUGGAGAUUGAUUAUGAAAAUUGGAAGGUUAAAUUAGCAUGGAGAAUAAGUAGUUUAGAAGCAGAAGUCAGAGUACUCAAAAUGUUAAUGUGUUUCAUGUUCGCUGGUCUGAUAAUGGUCAUCUUAGUAGGAGCUUUACUUUGCAUGUCAUAUAUGUACAAGUAGGAGAAAGUGAAUGUGGUAUGAUGGCUUUAGGUUGCUGGCUUUAGGUUGCUGGAUUUUUUGUUUCCAAUUAUCAUGGUUAAACUUUUGUAAACUGAAAGUAGAGUUUAUAAAUGGCAACUUGGAUUAUGAAUA